CCAAAUUUAGUCAUUUUGUGACAUCUCUUUGUUAAGGAGAAGGGUGAUUUUGGU
rnacentral:tRNA from 1 species